UGUAAGCGUAUACCAAAGUUGUUGCAGUUAAAACGCUCGUAGUCGGAAUUUGGCAGUUCCGGAUGUGUGCACGUCGUGUGCGCACUUCGCGGGGAUUGCUUUUGUGGUCUUGCGUAGGAUGAGGCACUUUUAUUAGUGAACGUCCUCACGCAACCACUUUUUACUGUGAGAAAAUCAGAGUGCUCAAAGCAGGCAUUUGCCGUGAAUGUAUUAGCAUGGAAUAAUAGAAUAGGACUUGGUUCUAUUUUGUUGGUUUGUUGAGACUGAGUAAUGAUUAAGAGGGACAGUUGGGGGCAUUUGUAUUUCGGUGCUAGAGGUGAAAUUCUUAGAUUACCGAAAGACAAACUGCUGCGAAAGCGUCUGCCAAGGAUGUUUUCAUUGA
rnacentral:rRNA from 1 species